rnacentral:lncRNA from 1 species
AGAGGAAAGAAAAUAUCCUUCCCUUUCUUUAUAUGCUAGGAGCUUCUACAUUUUCUUUCCUGCUUCUCAGAUUUUGUGAACACUGACAUCUCUGGCAAAGUCCUGGACUGUCAGUGACUGGGGACAUGUGAUGCUCAGUGGAUCUGUCUCCAUGGCUGUGGUAUCAAUUCUUCAGGGCUCCUAAUAGCCAGUCAGGGUAAAUCAAGAAACCCGUGAUUAUUGUCUGUUCCUUUGAAAUGCCUCUGCUGCUGCUGCUGCUGCUGCAGGAAGAAAGACAGAGAGGCAUGCAGUCCUCGCACGCUGGCAUUGCUGUUGCCUGUUUUAACGAGCCAUGGCAACCAAGAAGAGAGGAUCCUGGGGCAUCUCAGCUCUCAGGGUGCCAUCUGCUGCGGCUCAGCUGAAAAAGCCCCCAUCUCCCCGUGUUUGGUGGGAAGGCGGUAGGAGGAGUGAAGCAGAUGUCUGCUUUCUGUCUCUGACAGGGGACCCAAUCCAUUGCUUUUUGACGUCAAUAGCACUGUGGCUUUUUCAAGGGCAUGCAUAUAUCUUGUCAAUGUAGCUUAACAAGCCUGCAUCACUUCUCUGCUCUGGUCUUGCACAGUGUAGCAGGCUUCAGGAAGCACUAUACUUUGUGGCCAAGCAGACUUAGCAUAAAGGAAGGAUGGUGGAUAAAAUAUGUGAAUUUCAAGAGAAAAGACUUCAGAGACUCAUGUCAAAA